AUACGGAGGAUGCAAGCGUUAUCCGGAUUUAUUGGGUUUAAAGGGUGCGCAGGCGGCGCGAUAAGUCAGCGGUGAAAUGUACCGGCUCAACCGGUGAGCUGCCGUUGAUACUGUCGUGCUUGAGUGCGAGCGGCGCCGGCGGAAUGUGUGAUGUAGCGGUGAAAUGCAUAGAUAUCACACAGAACACCGAUCGCGAAGGCAGCUGGCGAGGACGUUACUGACGCUGAGGCACGAAAGCGUGGGGAUCAAACAGGAUUAGAUACCCUGGUAGUCCACGCAGUAAACGAUGAUGACUUGUUGUCGGCGACAGACAGUCGGUGACAAAGCGAAAGCGAUAAGUCAUCCACCUGGGGAGUACGAUCGCAAGGUUGAAACUUAAAUGAAUUGGCGGGG
rnacentral:rRNA from 1 species